CCCCCUACCCCCAGCUACCUUGAAUCUGGCCCCACAAGAGCACAGCAGCCUGGGGUCCAUGGUGAGAUCUGGAGUCUUUUGGAAGCUGCUGAGGCAAAGCCCCUUUGCAGAGGGGGAAAAAAAAAAAAAAAAAAGAUCAGGGGCGCGGAUGCACAGCUCCUUGCGCCGCCUGCCUUUACCAAUGACCUAGCCCGUGCACGCAGCGCAAGCGCUGGGAGGCGCUCGGGCAGCGCCGGGCCUAGGCCCUAAAGGCUCCUAAGCCAAGCUCCUGCGGAAAGCUCCGUGUCCAGGGUUGUAGAGUGGCGCUGCGACUGAGGCUCGGCGCAGAGUUGGGGGCUGUGCCCCUGCAGCCUCCCCAGUGCAGGAUUAUAGCUGCGGAUUCUGCAGAAAGGGGCAGCGCCUGCGCCUGCACUUCGCAGCCUCCGCCCUCCUUGCUCCACUUGGCGAGGGGAGCAUCACUGCUCACAAGCUAGCUUCCGCAGCAGGUGCACUUGGUCUGAUUCCCUUUACUGCUCUGCGCUGCCUGGACCACAAGACAUUUUCCUGAAGAGCCAGUAUACUGGAGAACAUGUGGUAAUGACAUCUUCAGGAUUCGGUGCAUUGAAGAUGCUGUUUUGACUGUUCAUAUUGUUUUUACUUCUAAGAUAUGACUUCAGCAUGCCCACAUCUUACUUUUUUUAUGUGUUUGGUGUGAGAGUCUGGCCUGUUCCAGGCUGGGCCAGUGCAACAACUGUUUGAGCAGAACUAGUAAUAGGGCAUUUGGAGACGGUACAGAUGGGCUUGUUUGUGGAAAAACUCCCUAAGGAAACUCAGCCAGAAGCUACACAUCUAGUGUAGCCUGACAACGUAGACCUACUGUGGGCUGGCUGGUUCCCUUGGGAGUCACCAGGAAAUGUAGGUCCCAGUUGCUGGAGUUGGCUUAAAGGAUGCUUAAGGACAUAGAACAAUUGAGACAAGAUCUUGUGCAUAAACUGAAAGCUACCGUCUCCACUGAUGAUAAGAUUUUUGGUUUCUUACCUGCUGUCAGAAGAAACCAACCCUCAGGACUAGCCUAAGACCAGGCUCCUAUAAUUGUUAAACUACCUCUGUCCAGAUUAAAGAAGACCCAGAGACCCUGGUAACAAAAGGGGGAAAUUGCUGUCUUCCAUAUUGCCUGGAUAAAGAGACAGACAUUCAGGAGCCUUGGCUGUCACCCUGGAACAUACUCCUCCUGCUUAAGAGGAAACAUGGGGCCUUCAAUUCUCGAGUCUGAUUCAUCCAGAGAUACAGGUGUACAGGGUCUUGGAUCUGAAAGAUGUACUCUUUAUUCCCUCAUUGGCAGAGGCUGUUGACCUGGCUGCCUGACAAACAGUCCUCAGACCAGCGGGACCUAUUGAUAUUCUGAUGACAUUUCACAAACAUGGUACUGCCUGAGACUCCAUGGUGAAGAAGAAAUGGACAGCUCAAACGGUCAGGUUGGUGGAGGCCACCGGAGGGAAGGAUCAUUCUCCUAGAAGCAACUGACUCUGAAAGAGUUAACUCAGAGUUAACUCUAACUCAGAGUCCUCUAGAAGCAGGACUCUGGGAACUGAAGUUCACCAGGCUUCUGAUCCAGGGUCCACAAAACACUCUGAGUUUCCCAGACCAAGGUAUGUUACACCUAGACUGCACCGCCUAGUGAAGUAUAACUCAGCCAGAUGCCAGUUUUGUGCAAAAGUAAAUUCAAAACAGCAAGCCCUUUCCCAAGAAGCCAUCAGAAUGAGAGACAGAUAUCCUGAUGAAUUCUGGGAAAACUCACUUUACCAAGAUCAAGCAUUCUACGAGAGAAUAAACGUAUUUGCUAGCUUUUAAUAGAUACCUUUUUUCUGGAUGGAAAGAAGUAUUUCCCUACUAGGACUGAAAAUGCUCACAUUGUAGCUAAGAAGCUCCUCCAGGACCUGGUGUCCUGAUUUGGCCUCCCACUAGCAGUGAAGUCUGACAAUGGCCUAGCUUUCAUAGUGAAAAACCUCUCAAUAAUAGCUAAGGCUUUAGACAUAGAUUGAAAAUUUCAUUGUUCUUAUAGACCUCAGAGUUUUGGCCAGGUAAGACGAAUAAAUAGGACAUUAAAAAAAAACUAACAAAAUUCUCAUUAGAGUCCAGAGAAGGAUGGGUCAGCCUCCUUCCUUUGCUUUGCUUUGAGCUUACUGUACCUUAUACAGGAAAGGAUUUAUCCCCUUAAAGAUUAUGCUUGCAAGACAUCCCCCACUGCUUCCCAGGCUCAGAGACCAGCAGUUGGCAGAACCCUAACCAUUCCUUUUUCAAGUCACCAUAGACCCCCAGUCCUCCAAUACAGGCUAUUCAUUGGAGUAUCUGAGAGAUCCAGCUGGCCUCUGAUUUCAGCACACCUUCCCCAUGUUUGAUUCGACUAAUACUGUCUGGUGCAUUCAGACAGUAACAAAAGCAGCACUGAAACCAACUUGGGAAGGUCCCUAUAAGUGAUUCUCUCCAGUCCUAAGGCUGUGAAGACAGCUGGCAUUACACCAUGGAUCCUGACCACACCCAGGCCAAGAAAUUGGAAAGCCACAGAUGAUGCUGCCAAAUGGACUGUCUCUGGACUAUGGACCCACUGAAAUUAAGGUGUCACUGCUCCCAGGGCCUUUCUACUUCCAGCCCCUCUUACUUCUUCCAACCAGUAUGUUGGGUAUGAAUACAGGUUCAUGGUCUAACUCCUUCCACUUUCAGGCCUGGACUGGAAACUGAGGACGACAGACACAGGGAACACAUUAGCUACUGUGACCCCUACUUGCUGAUGGCCACUUUAAAUGCCUGGUUGUAUGGAGAGAAAAAAACAGAUAAGAGUAUUUGUGUUUUAAGUGAGGAAUACAAUGUUGGUGUGUGCCUUGCAUAUGGAUUCCCUAGUUGUCAGAAACAAGGAGGUUUCCAUUGCAGCAAUCGGGGUUGUAGAACUGAAGCUUCCUAAAAUUUUCCUUUCAAAGAGUCUGGCCUUUAGGACAGAGAAAAAGCCUGGGCAAUCAGACUCUAUGCCACAGGAAAGGACCCUGGAGAUAAGAGUCAAUCAUUCCCAGCCAGCAAUCAGCCAGGAUUGCUGGUUAUGCCUAAACAUUCAGCCCCACACUACACAGGGAUAGAAACAAAUUUUUCUGCAACUACAAGAAAAAUUAAUUUCAACAUGGGGCUUUAAACAGUGCAGAGUUGUUUUCUGGGUCCCAAAGUCUGAUGUUGGCCAUGGAUCUCUUGAGUUCGUAGGUUAGGUUCACCCAGAGAUGAGGCCAAGUUGGGAUCUUACCUGAGACUCAAACAUCGGCUUCCAAACCUCUCACAGGAUGGACAGAAGUCAGUUCCUUCCUUAGAAGGCCAUUAUGAAGUCCCUCACUCCAGUCUUAGUGUUUCUUAGAUCCGAGACUAAUCCUACCCCCCUUUUUGGCUGCUCUCAGAGAUAAUUACAUAAAAAAGACAUUCGCGGAGAUAAAUAAUGCAUUGUCACACAAUCCAAAUGUAUGCUAGCACAACCUGUGCCUGUGAAAUCAAAUCACUAUUCCUGCAACUCUCUGUCAGUUCUGCCCAGUCUGUGAAGGAUGUGUUCUCAGGUUUCUCCACUCCAACCUUGUUUUCACUUGGACAUUGAAACAUCCUGAUUUACAUUUCAAAAAUCAAUCCCCUUUUGUUAUUUAGUAAGGCUUCUUUAAUGAAGCUGCUCCGUAGUGUUCUGAAAACUGAGGCCUUCCAUAGCACUUUCAUUUCCCUACAUUAAGAAAAUUUGCUGUUAUUUGUUUAUUUAGGUAGUAAGCUUAUCUCACCCAUGCUUAUCAUCUGCAAUGAGAUGUUCCUAAGUCUAUACACAUAGGAGAAGUAAUCAUGCUAGUUAACAUGUGACUUACCUUAUAUACCUGUCACUAUUAAUGAUAGUACAAAAGCCACUUUCAUGGUUUUGCAAUGGUGUAACCCAUUUUAAGGUAUAUAGUCCAUGCUAUACAAUGGAUAUUUUGAAUGUAUUACUCCUAUUUAAUUGAAAUUUUCUUUCCUUUGAGCAGUAUAUGUCUGCUGCCUUCAUACCAGCUGCAUUUUUGCUCUCUGUUUCUGUAGUGUGGUGGUUUGAAUGAUAAUGCCCCACCCAGGCUCAUAUAUUUGACUCUCUCUCUCUCUACUUGCUCUGUUUGGAAAGGAUUGCUAGAAACCUGGGAACAUGUGACCUUGUUGAAAGAGGUGUGGCACACUUUUGUCCCCUGGAAGUUCAGUGGCAAGGAUUUCUAUGUUCUUUGAAAAACUUCCAACUUGCUCUGGAUGCUUUCACACUCUGAUGCAACAAGAUGCUCUCAGAUAUUUUUACUUAACCUUGUUCUAGUCCUUGAAACAGCCAUUUCUCCUGGAUACUUUUAGUGCAAAAUGGUGGUUUUAAUUAAGCUGGCACUCUAAAAAACACCUGUUUCCACUGACAAUGAGACUUUGCUCUUACUUUAAUCUUAGCUUCCCUAUAUGUAAAGAUGAAAAAUAGGAUGUAUUGUUAAAUAUAUUGUGAAGGUGAAAAAGGUAAUGAAAAAAUUAGCUAAAUGCCUUGCACAGAACAUUUGCUGAGAACAUGUGCACACAGGAUAUGCCAUAAUGACAAUAAUAACAACAGUUAUGGAUUGUGUUUUGGAAAGGAGUUAUUACCUAUUAAUGUAUUUGAAAAUAAUUGGCAGCUCAGUUUUCCUUGCUUUUGUUGCCAUUAAAUUCUAGUAGUGGCCAAUGAGCUCCAUCACUUGGGGCGGUAGGUGGGGGAUGUGAACAUUACAUCAGACCAAGACCAUGCCAGUAGUUUCCCAGCACUUGCUGAGGUAGGGCUCAAGCCUUUAAGAGAAGUAACUAUUCUUAUAGCUUUUGCUACUAGCACUCUAUCCUUUCUCUAUAAUUCCCUUAAUAAUGCAACAGAUCAUUACCAUCAAGUUCUGAUGCACAAGUAAGAAAAGCAACAACAGCUCAAAGGGUGGCAUCCUGUACCUUGGUCUGUGAUUUUUCUUUAU